rnacentral:tRNA from 1 species
GGAUGGGUGUCCGAGCGGCCGAAGGAGCAGCACUGGAAAUGCUGUGCACCGUUUUUGCGGUGCCGAGGGUUCAAAUCCCUCCCCAUCCG